rnacentral:misc_RNA from 1 species
CUUUCUUCACUCUCACUCUCACUCGCACUCUAGACGACUAACCGGCGCGUGUGCUGGCAUCGGUGGCGGAUUUCACCUUGAACGUGAAGUCCAUCUUUUUCAGGUACUAAUUCCUCAAAAUGUUGUGACGUUCAAAAAGUAAGCGAAGCAGCCCACAUUGGUUGCAAAGAUGAGUUCAAGAGGAGGGGUUGGAAGGACUUCAACUGCUGGUACUUGUAAUAAUGCGUCAUCUGGGGGGGAAAAUGCAUCAGAAAUCUCUAGUCCUAAGGUUGAGCGGUUGGGUCAAGGUGUAGUAGGCAUUAGUUUGGAUUCUGCAGAAGAUGAUGGAGAAUGGGAGGUUAUAUCACGGAAGUCUAAGAACAGAGCUGG